rnacentral:rRNA from 1 species
AGUGAACGCUGGCGGUAGGCCUAACACAUGCAAGUCGAACGGCAGCACAGUAAGAGCUUGCUCUUACGGGUGGCGAGUGGCGGACGGGUGAGGAAUACAUCGGAAUCUACCUUUUCGUGGGGGAUAACGUAGGGAAACUUACGCUAAUACCGCAUACGACCUACGGGUGAAAGCAGGGGAUCUUCGGACCUUGCGCGAUUGAAUGAGCCGAUGUCGGAUUAGCUAGUUGGCGGGGUAAAGGCCCACCAAGGCGACGAUCCGUAGCUGGUCUGAGAGGAUGAUCAGCCACACUGGAACUGAGGCACGGUCCAGACUCCUACGGGAGGCAGCAGUGGGGAAUAUUGGACAAUGGGCGCAAGCCUGAUCCAGCCAUACCGCGUGGGUGAAGAAGGCCUUCGGGUUGUAAAGCCCUUUUGUUGGGAAAGAAAAGCAGCAGGUUAAUACCCCGCUGUUCUGACGGUACCCAAAGAAUAAGCACCGGCUAACUUCGUG